rnacentral:lncRNA from 1 species
AGUGGGUGAUCUCUGCCCUGUCCCUACAAAUAAUUCAACGGUGGUUCUCUCUCUCUUAAGGAGAACUACCAGUCCCGUAGAUGCAGCUCUAGAAUGAGGGUGCUUUGGGCAUAACAGGCUCAGCCAUCCUUCUGGUGUCUCGCCCUGUCUCCUUUCCCAUCCUUGGGUUCACUUCUCUCCCUUUUUCUCUUCACUUCAAAAGUGGUUAGCUCCAGUUAAAUACCUGGAGUUGGGACAGCAGAAAAGCUGCUAAAUGCAGAUUUGCUUUUUCUCACUAAAGAAAGAGGAACAUUUUAGUCACUAAUUUUCACUUCAUUUAACCUUUCUUUCCACAGAAUGGCCUGACUUUUGCUGGAAGGGGACAAAGCCCUAAGACAUUUAUAUCCAUGAGUAGAACAUUUAUGAUAUCACUUACACAGCUUCCUGGCCUGAGCUUUUCCAGACUUAGCUUAUAUUUUAGUCAAAGUAGAGGGAUGGAUUUAA